rnacentral:lncRNA from 1 species
GAAAACCACAAGCAGGAAAUGUUGUCUUACUAUUCUGAGCAAAAAAAAAAAGGGAUUCCGGUAAAGUGAUUUUGUGCCAUACCGUAACCUACCAAGGGUCCCUCCCGCCGAGAAAGAGACUGCAAGCCCCAAGCGCUGACUGUUGAACAAAGCGAGAGAAUAACUUGCUUUUUAUUUCAAGGAUCAACUGUCGACUGUUAUUAUGAGACAUGGCUACAAGUAAGCUGAAGUGUUGCCUCGACUGGACAGGAAGAGGAAGAUAUUGUUGCGCCCUGAGGAGGAGUGAUCGGGUCCUAUUGAAAGAAACACUCGAUCAGAACUGGAAAACUGUGAUUGAUUUGCACGAUUAUAAUGAUGGCGGGUUUAGGUCAGCUGUACUUUAUUAAUCAAUGUUAGUUACUUAAAAGGGACAUUUUGAGAAACGUUUUAUGAUCGCCAAGUGAACUUCAUAAGACUCACAGAGGUACAGAAAUAGGCUGGCUGUCAUCGAGACAGAUGGAUUUAUGAACCAGUAUUAUUUAGAGGGCGGGACUGAAACUGAAAUGAACAAGGCGCGGCCAAGAAUCCCCUUCACACGUGCAGACAAAGAGCGCCAACAACACAACCCAAAUAUGCACUUUUAAACUUUUUCAAACGCAAUGGACGACUUCCACGAACAUUGGAAAUGCAACGGUGGGUUGAAACUUGUUUUAUUUGGAAAGCUUUUUUUUCGGGAGGCCUAAAUUGGAAAAAGGACCUUGGAGCCGUACCUUCACAACAGGAUUUUAGCUGCAGGUCCUUUGAAUAACCAUCUACACUGUGGUGGAUUUACCCGCGACCCGGACCGGACUCAUGGAAUCGGAAUUGGAUUAUAUCUGCAGGCGCACAUCACAACAAAGGCUCUCCAAAUUGGAUAGGCGUCUCAUCGGACCCUCAAGGACAACAUGGAGACUAACCCCAGGUCAGCAGAAGGUCAAGCCCACUGCCCUGCCCGAAGUUAGAGGUCAGGGGUUAAAGGUCAUGUCCUGUUGACCCUGCGUGUGAGAUAAGCGGGCUAGGCUGGGAGCAGGGAGCCCCUGGUGGAAGGACCUGGCUCUGGACCACGGUUGUCAUUGGCAGCUUGUCAGGCUGAGCAGAGCUGGACAGCAGGAGGUAGCUAUGGUGUGCUGUGUUAUAUCCAAGUUGUGUGUGUGUGUGUGUGUGUGUGUGUGUGUCUGUGUGUGUGUGUGCUGUGUGUGUGUGUGUGUGUGUGUGUGUGUGUGUGUGUGUGUGUGUGUGUGUGUGUGUGUGUGUGUGUGUGUGUGUGUGUGAGAGAGAUAUGUCGAGGCGGACUGGUUUAUGACUUGUUCCUGUGAACCUCACUCACAUCUCAUGCAACACUGAAUGUGAAGAGCUUCGUAGCCUGGGACAUUCAUCCAAUUGAUAUUGUUGUUUAUUAUUAUCCAGGCUAUUAGAACCAAGUGGACAGAACGGGUUAUUGUUGUUUACUAUUAUCCAGGCUAUUAGAACCAAGUGGACAGAAUGGUU